rnacentral:lncRNA from 1 species
GAUGUUGAACGCUAAAGAUCUGAAGAACAUGGGGAUUAUUACUGAAGUGAUAAGUCCUCUUGUUGAUAUGCCCAAGUAAAUCAUCCACAACAGAAGGAUUCCUUUGGAAUAUUCCCUAUCUUCUCAAAGCCAUAUACUUUGAAAGAGGCGGUAGAAUUUCUAAAGAAGUCUCAUGUUGGUGCUAUUCUGGCAGCUUCUGAAACUAUUU